ensembl:lncRNA
GAGCUUUCCAAGAAGCAAAAGUAAAGCACUGCCUCGAAGACACAUGGGACGCAGCCUUGUCUGAAGGCCUCCGAGAAGACGCUAUAAAGCUUCUGGAAGAGUAUGCUGACCUGAAGAAACUGCAUUUCACUAGAGCCCUGACUCCACCAGAUCCUUGUGCAGAGCCCAGUGCCAUCACGUUCUCUGACGGCAGUGAACAUGCAUAUGGUGCAGUAGGGAUGGGUAUUGAUAAGAUUUUAACGAUUCCGAUUCCAUUUUCGAUUCUGUUUAACGAUUCGAUUCUUUAUCGAUUCUCUUAUCGAUUCUUUUUUUUUUUUUUUUUAAAAAGGAGAACACUAAGGUCGAUUAGCUCAGAGCUUUGUUUUAUAUCUUCUCUUUGAACAAGAUAGAAAUUUAGGAGUAACAUGGCCUUACAAACCCAACAGUGAGAUCUUGAGAGAUCCAGCCUACGGCUCUUCAAUGGGGUGUCACAGGGUCCCCAGGAAAAAAAAAUUGUAAAUGUAAAAUAAUAAAAUAAAUAUUCUUGUGAGACAUAUCACAUAUUGACGGGGUCGGGUUAUGUUAAAAAGUAUAAAUUGUUAUACUUUGUUCAUUGGUUCAAAGGUACCCCACACUUCUUUUUUUGUUUGCUUGUUUGUUCUGGUGUAUUUUUCAUUUGAACUGUUACUCUGCCAGAGUACUCAUAUUUACAAGAUGGCAUUGAACGCCCCAUUGGUGUAUCAGGAAAACUAUUUUGUACGUAUGUUCCUUGAAGGGGAUUGAAGUCGUUCUUUUUUCCACCGCAGCGAAGGGCUAGGAGUAGGAGAGGAGCUGCUGUAUGUUUUUGUUAUCGAAUCGAUCUGAUUGUGAAAUAAAGCAUAUGCAGUGAGAAAGCAACUCCAGGAGUCAUCCCUGCCUUAAAGCUGCAACAUUCUUCUGUAGCAAUAACAAAGUAUAACAUAAAUUGUUCUGUGGCAAUUACACAAGAAUAUCCAGUAAUGUCCCUGCCUACAAUUAAACACAUUCACUUAUCAAAAAUCGGGGGCAUCUGCUGUGGCAAAUGGGUGCAAGCCUUUGACCACAAACUUAGACACUGCUCGGUGACAUUAGUCUAUCCUGGCCUGAAAGGAGACGCUACCGGUAGACUGCAGCGAGAACUGCCAGCGAGCGCCAGCCAGACUCUGUC